rnacentral:rRNA from 1 species
CUACGGGACGCAGCAGCUGAGGAUUUUUUACAAUGCACGCAAGUGUGAUAAAGCGAGCCAGAGUGUUGUUCUUAGAACAACUUUUGUUUGCUGUAAAAAGGCAGACGAAUAAGGACUGGGUAAGACCGGUGCCAGCCGCCGCGGUAAUACCGGCGGUCCAAGUUGCAUCCAUUUUUAUUGGGUCUAAAACAUUCGUAGCUUGCUUUGUGAGUUUCUUGUGAAAUCUUAUGUCUCAAACAUGAGGCUUGCAAGAAAUACUACAUAGCUAGAGACCGGAAGACGUAAGGAGUAUGAUUGAGGUAGCGGUAAAAUGCGUUAAUCUUAAUCAGACUAACAAUGGCGAAGGCACCUUACGAGUACGGAUCUGACAGUGAGGAAUGAAGGCCAGGGGCGCAAAACGGAUUAGAUACCCGGGUAGUC